GGCCAGCAAAGCAGAGCAGGAAGAACUGAGCAGGGGAAUGUCGAGAGAAGAAACAAUCUGGAUGUUCUUCUCUAGGCACUAAUUACAAAAACCUACCUUCUCACGGGCUGUUUUCUGGUAGAUUUUCUGCUUCUAUUAAUUUUUUAAAACAAAUUAAUUCAUUUGGUUUGGUUAGUCAUGGAAAGAGGAUUUCCUGAACAACACUGGCACAGUGAAGACACCCUCCUCUGUCCUGGAUUUUUUUCCGAGAGGCCGUGCCCAUGCAUGUGCUUCUGCAGCUAAAGAGUCCUAUAAUGGCCAGUAGUUGACCCCAUCUCUGGACCUGAGAAUCACCAUGGUUGGUAUGAAAAAGUGGUUUGGAAUGAAAAAAGGAUUGGUGAAAAAUAGCAAUCAUUUUCCUUGCUGAGUUGUUACAAGAACAGGCAGAGGCAAACCAUCCCUGGCAUGUCCACCCUAACCCCUGCAUCCUGGGUUUAGUCCCUCCCUCUGCUCCCCCUGACCUCUGCAAUGAAGCUCCGAAUGCCCUGUUCUGGGACACCCUCUUUUAAAUCUCAAGAACUGUGCCAUUAGGGAAGAAUGCAGAAAGGCAUCUCCAGGUCGAUCUGGAUUGGAUCAAAGGAGGAGGGUACAGAGCUCUUCUGAUCAGGACCGAUUCAGUUUCCUGAUCUGCCAAAUGGACACAUACUCUGGUUAAUGUCUACUGUCUCUUCCAACACCCCGGAUCUAUGAUUUUAUAUAUUUCCUCUAAGGACCCAUGCUGACAAUAGACAGACACAUAUUCUGAAACAACUUCCAAAGAUAGGGAAUUACUGCAAACCAAGAAGGACCGGUCAUCUGUUUCUUGAAUGCACUGGUUAAAGAAUAAUGGAGAUAGUCAGACCUUCCAUCAAGUCUCUGCAUCACCAUAAGCCACUUGACCAUCUAAUUACCUGAGCACAUGUGCUAGGGUAGCAGCCCCAUUUCCACCAAAUGCUUAUUGAGCUGUUUACCAGGAACCCUGCUCAGCCUACAGCCCAUGACAAAUAUUCAAUAAAUGUUAAUCAAAUAUGAAUGUAAUUUUCAACAGGAUCCAGAAUGCCUGCCAUUAAGAUACUCUAUGGUUUCUGUUCUGACAAAGUCAAGCAGAUCCAGCAGAUCAUGGGUCCAUUAAGUGGGGAAGGAAAGUAAGAUAAACACCAUCCUCUCUAAGGAGCCAGACUCAUUCUGCCUAUGCUCUAGGGCAAGACCAAAUUUACCAACAGCAGGGGCUUCUGGGAAGGCUAUGAGCACUUUCUUCAGGGAGAGUAACUCUAGUUAUUAAAAACCACAUUCGGAAACAUCGUCCUCUCUGCUGACAGGGCCUUGUGCGAGGUGACCCCGGAGACUCCACAAGAGUGGACUCCACAAGAGCUCAUCAUGGUGAUAGAAUCCAGUUUCCUCAUCUUUAAAAUAAAGAUGCCCAUGCCCGUUUUGCUGACUUUUUUUGUGCAGAUUAAAUGAAAUGAAGUCUG